AUUGGCCAGCGCUGACGCAGGCCCUUGGCUGGGCAGUCCAGGGGGAAUCAUUAUUACGGGAAGGCACAUUUUCUGUAGCUUUGCCCGAAGAGAGAAGCUGUUUUCUCUCAGAGAUGGAACAUGUUAGCUGGUUGCCAUGAUGUCUUCAUUUGUCCAUCGCUGCCCCUCUGUGAGCAGGCAGCCAUCAGGACAGAGAGUGGCAUGCUGGACAGGCCGACUCUGACAAGGAGCAAGAUCUCCACGCCACUGCACACCAGCCUGAGAGACAGAGCACGACUCCAUCUCAAAGAAAAAACAAAAAAGAAAAGAAAAUGCAGAUCUCUGGGCCCCACCCAUACCUGGGGACUCAGAAUCACCAGGGCAAGGUCUCAUCCUUAUGCGUCACAUGUGUUUUGAGAUCUCAUUAUCUCCUGGGAGAGGUUCUUGCACUGUUGCCCAGGCUGGAGUGCAGUGGUGUGAUCAUAGCUCACUGCAGUCUUGAACUCAUGGACUCAAGAGAUCCUUCCACCUCAGCUUCCCGAGCAGCUGGGACUACAGGUGGGUGCCAUCAUUUCCAGCUAAUUAUUUUAUUUUGGUAGAGAUGGAGUCUUGCUGUGUGGCCCAGGCUGGUCUUGAACUCCUGGCCUCAAGGAAUCCUCUCACCUCAGCCUUCUAGAGUACUGGGAUUACAGGUGUGAGCUAGCAUGCCCAGCCAAUAGUAAUAAUAUUAACAAUGAUAUUCUCAUAACAUUUUCACAUCUGCCAUUUCAUUUAACUCUCAAAGAAGCCUUAUGAAGCAAGGGAGGUAAUUUCUGUCCCUCAAACUUCUAGGAAAUUUUAAACGCCCUGACAGAAAGCUUACAUGCUUAAACCACUGCUGAAAUUACAGGCCCAAGGGAAUAAGGGGUGGCUCAGAUUCAAGAGACUUCCAAGAGCAAUAGCUCUUCUCCAAAGUGGGGGGGGGGGUGGGGGGGGGGUGAGGCUUUCCUCUCAUUGUGGGAAAGUGGGAAGAGAUAGUUUAUAGGAAACUAAGGAAUAGGAGAAAAGCCCCCUGGGAGCUGGGCUAGGCAGAAGCUGUCCCAGUAGCAGCUGGUCUUUGGCCCAGGAAGUGCCCCUGAUGUCCUAGGAUGCAUUUCAUCCUCUGGCAGAACCCCUCCUCCCCCACUAAGGACACUGCACUUCUGGGGAAAACAUGGAUGUUUGGGAUUUUUUCUCCCUUGACAGCACUGCCGUUGAAUACUAGCUAUGCUCAACCACCUGUUUUCCAGAAUAUAACCUUUAUGUGUAAGGAAGCAUAUUUCCUACAGGAAUAGUAAAUACCUUCCGAGAUGUGCCUUUCGAAUGGACACCAUGCCAAGCUGCAGCUCCGCCACACAGCUCCAUGCUAACUGUUUAGAAAUGCAUGCUCCCUGAGUGUGAAACGAUUAAAGUUAGUGGUUAAUAUGCAAAAGCCUUUUGAGCAAGUGAUGAUUUAAUCAGUAAGUGUGUGCUGCUGUGUGACCUGUGUGCAUUCGCAAGACUCAAGUGCUGCAGAAAGUUCCGGCCCUCUGCCCUCUGAAACUCCCAAUUCUCAUUUUAUCAAGGGCUCAAUGUAGAGUAAAAUAAACCACACAUUCAAAAUGUAUGGAGAAAGAAAUCUUCUGGAAAUGGAAAGUUACACUUUAUAUACUGGGGUCAUACAAGUCUUUAUGAGCGAGGCAGAAAAGACAUUUCCAGUCAAUAGCAUUCACCAUCUCAGGCCCCUGUCCCUCUACUUUGGGAGAAUUACGUUCCUUGCCCUGAGGAUGAUUAACAAGGAUAUCCCCGAUUUCAUCUCUGCUUUCUAUUCCCAGCUACGCAGACAUUGUGCUGGAAUUUCUAUGCUGAAGAAUUAAGCUAUAUUGUUUGGCAAAAGAAGAAACUGAAAACAAGAAAUCCAUCCCUUUCUACCACUGCUAUUAUAUCAUCCACGUUUAAAAAAAAAAAGUUUGUAUGUAGUUAUAUACAACAAGAAGUUUCUGCUUCGGAUUUCUCUGUUGGGCAGGGUGGUGGGAGGGAUGGGGUCUCGAGUUUUUCCCAAGUGAAAUCCUGGUAAUCCUGCCUGAGAGAAUUCUUAUGAAAGUUUCACUCACAAUGAAAGCAAACUUCCAAGGUGGAGGAGGGUGAAGCCGGCUGGCUGGACCGAUCACUGAGGCCCAGUGCUGCGAAGAGAGUUCAGCACAUUAUUCCAACCCUUUCUGGGAGCACGGCCCAGGCUUGGCACCGGUUUGGUGUUCUCGAGUGUGAUGCAUUCUGAAAACCUGGCUGCGUCCGUGGCCCAGCUCCAGUUCUGCAGGGCUCAGCAUCAGGCUGCCCCCUCUCCUAAGGUGUUUUGCAGGAUCGCCCCUCAGAGCUAAACACCCACCAGCUGACCACCUGUUCCAGGUGAUGGGAUUUUGGCUCAGAUCAGCCUGGAUCAGGGUGGACCUCUACAAGCUGGCUUGCAUGAAUGUAAAUGUCUGCUGCCCAUCUUGAAGACCAUCGGCAAGCUUUGGUGGGUUCAUAUUCAGUGGCAUUAGGGAUUAAGGCAAACUUAAAAUGAUUCUGAGUGUAAACAGAUACAGAUAUAAACUUUUGGGGGAACAAUUUGGUAAUAGCUAAUAACAAUCGUUAAAAUGUUUAUAUCCUUUGACCUGAUAGUGUUAGUUCUAAGAAUUUACCUUAAGAAAAUAAAUAAAUUUAUAUCCCAUGAUAUCUUCAUUUUAGUGUUGCUUGUAAUUGCAAAAAGAAAAAAAAAGAAAAGAGAAAAAACCCCAUUUACUGAAUAAUUGGAGGGUGGUUAAAUACAUUACGGUAAAUUCAUCUGAUAGAAUAAAAUGCUCUACAGUUAAAGACCUAGGAAACACAAUAGACUUUGCAAAACCAUAUAAAAACAAUAUAUAUGGUAUCAUCAUGAUUUUUGUAAAAAAAUACAUGUGAAUUAAAAGACUAAUGAACAUAUAACUAUAUACAAACAGAUUUCGGAGUGGUGAGAUUCUAGGUGAUUUUAAUGCCUCUCUGCAUAUUCCAAUUUUUCCAUAACGAACACACAUACCACUGAUAUUCAAUAAAAAAAGGUUAUUUUAAAUUUUUUUCUACCCAUAUGCUGACUGUAAGUCCUCAUUCCAAAGGAAGAAUAAGACCUUUCGGGGGCUACCACUGACCUGCCCAAGUUGGAAUUAGUAAAAAGAGAACUGGGGAACCGGAAGAGAAGAGUUAGAGUGGCUGGCAGACGCUGAGGUGUGAGGGGUUUUCAGUGCAGCAGUUUUGGGGGUUGGGGAGAGUAGAGAAAGGAGCUGAGUUCAAGUUCUCUGUGGGGAAGUGGGACCACAUCCUGCCUGGGAGAAGGGAAGGUCAGUGAGUUCUGUCCGGGGCUGCUGUCCUCUGGUACAGGGAUAUUAUGAGCACGGCAAAAACUCAAUAACUGUACGUAUUAAGGAGUGAGGUCAGCCAGCACCUGGAGGGAUGCUGAAGAAGGCAGGCCCGUGCAGACCCACGAUUGCUUUACAGUUACUUGGUGCCCCUGAAGUGCCUGCUGCCCAGGGAGAUGCACUGUUUCCAGUCCCCAAUCCACUGAACGAAGAUGGAACAAUGGUGGACCCAUCGUGAACUGGUCAGUGUUGUCUACCAGAGAUCCUGCUGUCCCUCCCGAGACUCUCCUCACAAGGUCGGCCCAAUUUGUGUGUGCCUAUGAGCCAGGAAGAGCAUACCAGUGACAAUAUUUGUAUAGCAUUUGAUAGUUCACAAACAAUUCUCAUGAAAGUUCAGUCAAGGAGCUCUAGACAUUCUUUUCAGGAAACACAUAUUUACAAUCUGCAAAUAGCCACACUGAGGGUGUUCUUUUUCCUCAGCUGUAAUUUCAUCUGUGACUCUCUCUGCUGCUUUCUGGUGGCUGGAACUGUAUUCAGCAAGGGCAGAUAGGUGGCUGUUCUUCAAGCUUUUACGAAAUGGGGGAAAACCAUCGGUAUUAGUCAGUGAGGAAUAAACUAGCCCUUUCUUUUUGUUUUUCUUUUGCUUUUUUAGACACAGGCUGGAGUACAGUGGGGUGAUCCUAGUUCACUGCAGCCUCAACCUCCUGGGCUCAAGUGAUCCUCCCACCUCGACCUCCAGAGUAUCUGGGACUACAGGCAUGUGCCACCAAGCCCAGCUAAUUUUUUUUUAUUGUUUUGUAGAGACAGGGUCUUGCUAUGUUGCCCAGGCUGGUCUCAAACUCCUGGCCUCAAGCAAUUCUCCUGCCUUGGCCUCCCAAAGUGCUGGGAUUACAGGUGUGAGCCACCACACCUGGUCAUUACCCCUUUCUAAUGAAUCUAGGAAGUGCUAACAAAUAAUCGGCACCAGUGAAUAACUCCUUAGAUUCAGUGAGGUUAACACUGGGGACCCAGAAGAGAGAACCACCGGCUUAGUGUAGACCUGCCAAAGGCAGGUGUUAAAAUGGAUGAUCCUCUUGCAGACUCAGUUCCUGGCUGGUCAUCACCUGGUGAAUUUUUCAUUUUAAAAUCAAUAUUUCAAGAAAGCACAUAGCUUAGAGUCAUGUAGUUUAACCUCCAACCCAACAUGGCAUCCCUAAGGACCACCACCCAGCCUCUGUUGAAUACUCCUAUGAUGGGGACCUCGCUACCUCUCCAGGAGAACAUUCAAUUUCUGUAUAGAUGUGGUUAGAAAGCAUGUCCACAAGACUGCAGUGUGGAAGUCAGAAGAGAACAUUGGGUUGAAGGGGAUGUGACUCAGUUUCAAAGGUGCAGGGUGUGUAGCUAUAAGGGUACCACAUAGGAUUACUAUAUCCAAUUUUUUAGAAUUAUUUGUUAUUUUUCUUCUGAUGAACAAAUACUAUGUAGAGGAUAUGGAAAUGCUUGUGUAGCCUUCUCUGUUAGGGAAAGUGGUGCUGGGUAAUAAUAUUGGUUCAGUACAUCAUUCAUUAUUUUGUAGAUAAAACUAGAAGUGAGUCCUCCAUCCCACUGACUUUGGUUAGCUUGCCAUAUGAAGCUUCAGUGAUGGUGCGUUACAUCCAUCUCAGCUUCCCUACCAGGUAGUUUGUGCCCUCAAGGAAUUGAUCAUCAUAAUCUAGACUUGGUUGGUAGCAGGCUGGGGAAGGCUAGGAUUGGGAAACCAAUGGGCUUCAUUAAUUAAUGGGUUCAUUAGUUCAGUUUGUUUGUAAGUUACUAUUUUAUGAAUAUUAUAUGUCUCCCCAAUUGGACUGCAUAUUCCUUAAGGGCAGGAAUUUAUUUCUUAUCCCUCACUGUAGUUGCAAUAGUGAACACACACAAAACCCUCAUCAGUAUAUGCUCAGUGAUUAUCUGUAGAAGACUAUGUUGUAGGUAACACAUUGAACUGGUGCUGAAGAAUUAAUCCAAUUAACAAUGACCAUCAAGCCACUUCUUUUAUGCUAAUAAAACAUCAUAAUUUAAGGACUACACUGCAUUUUUUAAUUCCAUAAAUUAUAAUCCUUUAACAUAUAUGAAAGUUUCAUAUUCUUA
rnacentral:lncRNA from 10 species